GUGCUCACAGUAGCAGCACAUACAGUAAAAUUAGAAUGAUACAGAGAAAAAUUAGCAUUGCCCCUGCAUGAAGAUGACAUACACACAAAUUCAUGGGGCAUUCCAUACUUUA